UACGGAGGGUGCGAGCGUUAUCCGGAAUCACUGGGUUUAAAGGGUGCGUAGGCGGGGAAUUAAGUCAGUGGUGAAAGCCUGUCGCUUAACGAUAGAAUUGCCAUUGAUACUGAUUUUCUUGAAUUGGGUUGAGGUUAGCGGAAUGUGACAUGUAGCGGUGAGAUGCAUAGAUAUGUCAUGGAACACCAAUUGCGAAGGCAGCUAGCUGGGCCUUGAUUGACGCUGAGGCACGAAAGCGUGGGUAGCGAACAGG
rnacentral:rRNA from 1 species